AUACAUAUAAUCUCGACCAAUCCAAUCGUUGAGGCAACCCAAAGCAAAAGCUUCAGUGCAGCAUUUUCUGGUUUUUUCGUAUAAGUUCUGACCAUCUGAGUAGGUACUUUUCUUGAGCAAUCCAAUUUCAAUUCCUUACCAAGCUCAACACCGAUUGAUAUUAAUUCCUUGGGUAGUUUCAAAAACAGCGAUCCUAGGAAUUUUCGCGAAAAAUACCCAUUACGAAGCAACCUCUUGGGGUAACAAUUGUAAAAAGAAUCUUUACCUUUACCAGGGUCAAUUUUGUAUUCAAACCCUAUACAAUUGCAUAAGUCUAGGCAUAUCUGUUUGCAGUAUUCUAAUGUAUUAUUAUAAUGAAUAUGGAUAUUAUAGCCAUAGAAAUCAUACUGCUUAAAUUCAAGAAACAUGACCUCUUUCUGAUUGCAGGAGAGCUGAAAUUCAGGCUCACAUCCAUAAGACCAGUCCGUAUCAUUUUUCACCUUGAACCAGGGGAGGCAAGAGCAUGUUUUACCAGAUGCAGGAUG
rnacentral:lncRNA from 1 species